rnacentral:rRNA from 1 species
UACAGAGGGGGCAAGCGUUGUUCGGAAUUACUGGGCGUAAAGGGCGCGUAGGCGGCCAACUAAGUCGAACGUGAAAUCCCUGGGCUCAACCCAGGAACUGCGUCCGAUACUGGUUGGCUUGAAUCCGGGAGAGGGAUGCGGAAUUCCAGGUGUAGCGGUGAAAUGCGUAGAUAUCUGGAGGAACACCGGUGGCGAAGGCGGUUCUCUGGGCAUUACCUGACGCUGAGGAGCGAAAGUGUGGGGAGCGAACAGG